UGUCUUAAAAUCCUUUGAAUAUGUUGUAAUUCAUAUAUUGUCUAUAUUUAUCCGAAUACAAUGGUCCCCAUCUAUUUAAGAGAACAAAGGAUGCAUGUUAAGUUGGCUUUGUCUUCAUAGUGUGCUUCUCACAGCAAAUACAUUGCCAUAGGAAGUCUAUUUGUUCCUAAUCAAUAUGGGUUUACCACUGUGUCUUAGCAUCCACCUUACCAUUGUAGGAAAUACUCCAUAUUGGAUGGUGCGAAACUCCUGGGGAAACUCCUGGGGAGUAGAAGGCUAUGCCUACGUGAAAAUGGGAGGUAAUGUUUGUGGCAUUGCAGACUCUGUUGCUGCUGUCUUCGUGUGAUCAUGGAGUGUUUUGGAAUCCUUAUGAGACAACUACUAAAAUGAUGUGCUUCAGGUUUCAACAACUCAUCUACAGACAGAUUCUAAGAGAAAACUGGCAUUUUGUAAAGCAACAUAGGACAUUCUAUUUUUGCCAAGAGAUGGACAGCCGAAGUUCCUAGGAAAUCCCCCAGCACACUGACUGAUCAACGGAAUCUGUGGGACAGUCCAUACCUCUGAGAGUUUGGUGGGAUCAGAAGUCACAUAGUAUCUGGGAGCAGAUGGGAUUUUUGCUUGCUUAUUGUCUUUCUGGCUAUCCUAAUGAAGUACUUUGGUCAGGUUGAGUCAAAGAAGUGAUGAGAAUGUGUUUUCCUUUGUGACUUACAAUCACCAGUUUUAGAUUAGCUCUUCUAUAAGAACUCCCAACCUGAUGUCGUGUGUACCUCGCAAUUACAGUGGCCUUCUGAAAUGGAGUGCCAUGCGUCCAGAUUUGAAAUAUCAGUGGCUUCAUCUCGGCAAGUGAAGCUUACUCUAGACAGUAGAACAACUAUACACAAAGAAGAAAUGGGAGAAUCCCAUCUUCAGAGGGCCAGCCCAACUGAAGUUAAUUGAAGCACAUGACAGCUAUGUGAUAGGGAGUACCCUACACUACUUCCUGGAAGACAUAAUUUCUAUAAAGCCUCACUAUCAAGCAUCCAAAACUCUUAGCUUCUUGCGUUCUUCCCUCUGUAGUAGACAACAAAGCAUGUCCCACCUUUAUUCCCUCUUGGCCUUUACCAUACGGUUUCUAUGGUUUCCUGGUGGUUCACCUUCCAAUCUAACUCAGACCCAUUGUUGAUAUUCCAUUUCUGUGGCCCAAUCCCUUAUUUUUAAAAAAUAAGUUCUCUGACACCCGCUCACAUUGCUCCUUGUUUAUGUCCUUCAUUAGAAUAGCAGCAUUGAGAACAAAACUCCUUACUCUUUUGUCUGUACCAGUGAGAAGCAAUCUCAAACAGUUGUGCAGAGCCUGGAGUGUAGAGAAAUGGCAGAAGAAACAUUUCUUCUUAACAUUUUGAAUAAAGUGGUCUAAUUACCGGAGGAAUCCAGAGCAAAAUUUAGUUCAGCUAUAGUUUUUGUUAAUGACCUUUAGUAUGCUAUCAGCAACUUUUUUAAUACCCAGUUUCAAAAGCAGAAGAAGUUUCAAAUUUUCAAAAUGGCUGUUAUCCUCUAACUGUUCUGAAUUGAUAGCAUUUAUUAAAAAAAACCUACAUUUGAUUUUGAAUUAAAAAGAAAUUGUUCUUAAAUAUGUGGUCUAUAAUUGAUCAUUAUUUGUGAGCACUAAUAGAUAUUUAUUAGUAUUGAUUAGUUUUAUAUUCACAUUUUCUUGUAUUUGAACCCAUAUAUCCAGUGUGGUUUUCUCCAUAAUGCUUCUAACCCCACCAUGUCCAAGAUUCCCAUCACCAUCCUCCCAUAUCUAUUAUCAAUGCCCAGUGGUCCUUUCCUCCUUACCAUUUCUUUCUGUCAGCAGCAUGGGCUAUUGUGUAAGCAGGCUAUAGAGUCAAAAGGAAGUCUAGGCACUCAAUCUAGUUGACUCCUCCUUGGAACCCACUCCUACAUCUAUCUAUAUUCUCUCUUUUUUGGGAUGUACACUUUUUUUUCAGAGCUGGGGACCAAACCCAGGGCCUUGCGCUUGCUAGGCAAGCGCUCUACCACUGAGCUAAAUCCCCAACCCCCAGGAUGUACACUUUUUAUUAGCACCUAUCUACACUCUUCCGUUGACUCCAGCCCAUCUAAAAUAUCAAACUAAGGCAGAUUAUGUAGAGAUAAUGAGUUUAUUAUUCCACAGUUUAUGCUGCUGGAGAUCUAUAUGAGUGUGUCUCAGAGGUAAAGGGAGAUGAGGGAUUUUACUGGUAAAACUGAGAUCAUUAAACUGUUCUGUUAUGAAAUGACUACCUAGAACUCAGAGAUCUACAUCAAGCUUGACUAGGUAGUCACCAGGCAGAUAUUUUUAUAAAGUUUGCUUUGGUUUUUUGUUUUUGUUUUUGUUUUUGUUUUGAUUUGUAUGAAGUUAUGAUGACCUUUGAUGCAAUGUACUUCAAACACUUUUUGUGAUAGUUCUUGUUAUGUAUCAUCUAUAUAUAAUACCCACUUUUGGUGACUUGCCAGCUUUAUUACUUUUGUUUUCUUAUUAGAUCCUUGAGUAAGUAACUUCCCUUGAUUCUGACAAGUUCUGUUAGUAACUAAACUCAAUGAUCUUUAACACAGUGGGUCCUGAACAAUAAUCUCCAGAGCAGAUUCCAAUGGCUGUGAAAGAUGCAUUCUAAAGAUCUAAAGAUGUAUCUACUGCAUUCUCCUAGAUUUAUGCUUCUAAAAUGAUAUUAUCAUUUAAUUCACAAGUUUUACACCCUGGGAAUCCCCAAAUGUCUGCAGUGUUUCAUGCAAUGUCAUGCAGUGUUUUAAAAUAAGUAUCAUGGAGAGGUCUCUCCUUUGUAUCUUGUGUAAAUGAGUGAUGACUCGUACAUACCAGUUCAUGGGGGCUCCUUCCCCAGAAAACCUGACACAGAGCAGCUGAAUGUGUUACUUACUACAUAGAGUUUAUACCGAAGAUCACCAAUAGGUCCUAGAAGUGAUUUCACAAGGUUCCCCAUUGCAAGUGUUAAAUCAGUCAACUUUGCAUUGGUUUUGAAAUUCCACAAGAAUUAUUAUUAAAGUGGGUCCUCAGUCCCCAGAGCAAAUGGGAAUGGGACCCAGUGGAGGAGCCAUCCAUACAAAUAUAAUAUUUACAUUAAGUACUGCAAAUAUAAAGUGCAAUCAGCACUGUGAUAUUUAUACUAAGAAUUAUUGAAUCCUUUGGGAGGUAGAUUUCCUGUAAUGGUUUAUAGCUUAGUCACAAACAAAUAUAGACACAAAGAACCCAAUCACUGAGUCUAUUGGAGAAAGCUAAACAUUGACAGGUAGCAUUUAUUCCAGGAUUCUAAGGCAUUUGAGUCGUAAAACAUCUAUUUACAUGCCUUUUCAUUAUUUGACAAGAAAGUAUUCCCCAUUUAGAGACAAACUGGUAUUUCACUAGGAGUGUACCACAGCAG
rnacentral:lncRNA from 1 species